CCUACGGGAGGCAGCAGUGAGGAAUAUUGGUCAAUGGGCUUACGCCUGAACCAGCCAAGUCGCGUGAGGGAAGACUGCCCUAUGGGUUGUAAACCUCUUUUGUCAGGGAGCAACGCCGGCUACGUGUAGCCGGACUGAGAGUACCUGAAGAAAAAGCAUCGGCUAACUCCGUGCCAGCAGCCGCGGUAAUACGGAGGAUGCGAGCGUUAUCCGGAUUUAUUGGGUUUAAAGGGUGCGUAGGCGGAAUGCCAAGUCAGCGGUAAAAUCGCGGGGCUAAACCUCGCUCUGCCGUUGAAACUGGCGUUCUUGAGUGGGGGAGAGGUAUGCGGAAUGCGUGGUGUAGCGGUGAAAUGCAUAGAUAUCACGCAGAACUCCGAUUGCGAAGGCAGCAUACCGGCGCCCAACUGACGCUGAAGCACGAAAGCGUGGGUAGCGAACAGGAUUAGAUACCCGGGUAGUC
rnacentral:rRNA from 1 species